rnacentral:SRP_RNA from 1 species
GCUGGGUGCAGUGGUGCGUGCCUGUAGUCCCAGCUACUCGGGAAGCUGAGGUGGGAGGAUCGCUUGAGCCCAGGAGUUCUGGGCUGUAGUGCACUAUGCCGAUCAGGUGUCCGCACUAAGUUAGGCAUCAAUAUGGUGAUCUCCCAGGGGUGGCGGACAACCAGGUUGUCUAAAGAGGGGUGAACUGGCCCAGGUCAGAAACACAGCAGGUCAAAACUCCUGUGCUGAUCAGUAGUGGGAUCGCACCUGUGAAUAGCCACUGCACUCCAGCCUGGGCAACAUAGCGAGACCCCAUCUCA